rnacentral:lncRNA from 1 species
CAAAACCGACAUUACAGUGUUUAGUUAUAAUUAAUUUGUUUAAUUUUAUUGAUUUUUCUUUCUUUUUUAAACGGAUUAUCCAUUGGAAGUGGAUCAAUAUGAUAAUAUGAAAAAUUUGUCCGUUAAAUUAUAUAACUUCUAAUUCUUGACAAUAUGUAUUUAAAAAAAGCUCAAAAUAAUUUAGUUUGAUCAAUAUGUUUGAUUUUCCUGUGUGAGCAGGUAAAACUUACAACAUCAUCAAAACAGACAAGUAUAAUAAGUUAUUAUCACUUUAAUCUUGUACUGUCCAUUGUUUUAGAUUGGUGAUGGUAGUCAAGGUCCAACAAGUAAGAGCUCGGAGAAGAUUAUUGAGCAAAUUCAAAGUGAGAUUCAAAAGUCAACCAACGAAACUCUGGCAAACUUGAUCACAAAGCUGAAUGAGAAGGAUAAAGAAAUCAUAGAUUUGAAACUGUCCAUAGAAAAACUUUCUUCUGAAAGAGGAAGAGGAGAUUAUUACAACAGUCAAAACUUGGCAGAACUAAUGGCUAAACUAAACGAGAAGGACAAGGAAAUUAUGGACUUGAAGUACUCCAUUCAGAAGUCCUCUUUAGAGAAAGGGAAGGGGGACUAUUUAGACACUCAAAAUGCUUUAAUCAGGAGCCUGGAACUGGAAAGAGACCUUGCCAAAAGAGAAGUCAAAAGGCUGGAAGAAGAAAAAGCAGCCCUGUGGAGUCAGCUUUCAGUAAGUUAAAAUCAUUAGGCACUAGUCAGCAGAAUAUGGACUUGUGGGAACAUGGAGCUCCUAGGUCCUAAAGGGCAGCCAAUCUUCUCACAAGAAAAA